CCCUCCAAAUCAAAUCUUUACCAUGCUGGAGGAAAACCAAAGGGGUGUUUCACAGGCUCCUAUCUCAGCAUCCUAGUUAUACUGACACUGGUUGCUCAACUUUUUACACAGGCUCAUGUAAAAGCAUAAUGUCAAGGCACUGCUGAAGAAAUACCUGGGCCUGUGCCAAGUGCCGUGUGGACCUUGUUAGAGUAAGAGGAAACAGGGAAAACAGAGCUUGGCCUGAAUGUAAAGCCAGGAAGACCCAAGGGAUGCAGCUGCAGUGAGAGAGGAGUCAGAAGAGAGGCCAUCACGGGGCAGCCCAGAGGAAGGGAAGCUAAAGUUCCUCUGGAGCUACGGCACCUGGGUGACAAGAGGGAGAAGCUGUGGAUAAAAGCUCUUUCAAAUGCCCACUGGAGUAUAGGGUCUGGCACAGAAACCUGUUGAAGUGUCAUUUCAAGAGACAAGAGGAGAGUGUUUUUGCCUGUAGUCCUUUGGAGAAGAACUGGGUUAUAGCUUCAUUGGUAUCUGCGAUUGGACCACUGCUAGAGUGGU